GUGAAAUCACUAGCUCUGGACAUUAUCAUGAGUUUUGAGCCAAACAGUAAGUACUAUAGUGUGGGCCCUAAAACUUCAGAGAAGAGGAAUGACAUGGAGCUGAAUGAUUACUGGCUAGUCCUAACUAAGGGAGUGAGGGGCUGAGCUGUGGGAAUGAAAACAGUGGCAACUGUGACCUCAUGACAAUUGAAAAUAGAGCAGGGGAAAUAUGACUAUGAUCUGCUCUGCACCAUCUGUAGAUCUGUCCUGAGGUGUCCUGUCAGAGUGGCCUGGAACCAUUUCUUCUGCAAGAUCUGCAUCCUACAGUGGCUCAGGAGGUACAGUACACUGGGUCAUGUCCUCAGUGUAACCUUAACUGGUUAUUCAUAAGAAAAGGUAGUAGCUGUGUUAUUAUGAAAGACAGGAGACACGUCCCUACUGUAGGAAACCUAUCAGGUCCAGCUUUAUGUUUGUCAUGUACAAAUUGAGGAAAACUAUCAGCCACCUCGGGAUUAAGUGUAACAAUGAUGGUUGCUCGGCCACCUUCCCUCUGUCUGAGGAGUUCCUUGGUGCACCGGUCAGCCCUGGAGCCAGCUCUGCCCCAUGGACUGUGGUGCUCUGCUCACACAGGCCACCCAGAACCAACACAACUGCUUCAAUUUGGAUUCCAGGCUAGAAUUUACCCUUGACAAUAUACAAAUGAUCUUGGUGUAAAUGGAUGAAUCCUCUUUGAUGAUGAUUAUGGUUACCCAAGGCAGCUGAAGCAGCAGGUGUAGUCCCAGAGGCAGAACCACAGAGCCAUCGCUAGCGCCCUCCGGAGGAAGAUGAGGAGAAUGCAGACACAAGUUAGGAGGCAGAUGGCACUCAUCUGUGAGAGUCUAGAGGUCAUGGGAGAGGCAGAGGAGGGACAGGAGGGUGAGGGAGAGGAAUAUGGAGAGGGGGAAGGAGAGGUGUAUGAGGGAUAUGGAGAGGGGGAAGGAGAGGUGU